rnacentral:lncRNA from 1 species
AGUGAACGUUUKACUGUUCGUCUCAGGUUCUCGCGGCUGACGWGCAGUAAAAAAGGGUUGCUGCCAAAAUGCCAAAUGACGUUUCCGAAGAUCUACAACAARUUGACUCAGAUUCAGAGGACUGCCAUUGAGAAUAUGAUGAUGGUAAGAUGGAGUAUGCCUAAGACCUUGUGUACCAAGCAAGAGAUGAGAAAUCCAGCAUGCAGGAUGGAAUUGGCUGAGUGAAAU